rnacentral:piRNA from 2 species
UGCAAAACAUGAAUCUGUGAUAUUCGGGUC